rnacentral:rRNA from 1 species
UGCGCCUUGCCACGCCCGCUCAGAAACUACAAAGGAAUUAGACGGGGACCCGCACAAGCAGCGGAGCAUGUGGUUUAAUUCGAAGCAACGCGAAGAACCUUACCAGAUCUUGACAUCCAAUUGACCAUCUUUUAAUCGAGAUUUUGCCUUCGGGUACAAUUGAGACAGGUGGUGCAUGGUUGUCGUCAGCUCGUGUCGUGAGAUGUUGGGUUAAGUCCCGUAACGAGCGCAACCCUUGUCCUUAGUUACCAGCACGUUAUGGUGGGCACUCUAAGGAGACUGCCGGUGACAAACCGGAGGAAGGUGGGGAUGACGUCAAGCAUCAUGGCCCUUACGGCCUGGGCUACACACGUGCUACAAUGGUCGGUACAAAGGGUUGCCAAGCCGCGAGGUGGAGCUAAUCCCAUAAAACCGAUCGUAGUCCGGAUCGCAGUCUGCAACUCGACUGCGUGAAGUCGGAAUCGCUAGUAAUCGUGAAUCAGAAUGUCACGGUGAAUACGUUCCCGGGCCUU